CGGAUGAUCACUCCUGCGGCCGAACAAAAGUAUACGUUGAGCUGGUCUCAGACUUUGGGACCUGCAUUUAGAAUUUGAAUACUUCAUGCACGAGGUAGAUUUCCACAAGAAGAAUGAAAUUUGUCGAUCGUGGUUCAGGUCACCCGCAUUGUUAUCCCAAAACAGAGAAAAUUUUAGGCACGCAGUUCUUGAGAAUCUUGCCAAAUGAUAGCACAAUAGUCAAAGGGUGGAUGACUACUAUAGAUUAUGUUCCCUUCAUUUCAUUAGAGUUAGGUCAGACAAGUCAUUAAAUGGGAGGAACUGGCUCGCUCAGGGAAUAAUAGUCACGUGAAAGAUUCAAACAUGCAGAUGAACAAAGUUUGAUCAAUCAAUUAUUCCAAUAUCAAAAACACAGCAACAGGGGCGGGUGGAAACUAUAGGAUUUUAUCCAAGUUCCUCAAUCAAUGAAUUGUUAUGGAAAGAUGCUUCUUAAUAGCCUAGCUAAGCCUAAAGCAACAGAACCAACCUCAGCAGUACGCGAGAGUCCAGCAGGAAGCACCGGGACAAGAGACGACCACAGGACAGG